AUGCAGCAGGGAAGCCGCCUCUCCUGGUCGGAUUUGCAGAGCCUGGCGCGCCGGAAGCCGGCGGCCUCCGCGGCAGCGGCGGAUGGCCGACGCCUCGCUAAGACGCUCUCCGUUCCCCACCUCACGGCCAUUGGUGUUGGCUCGACGAUCGGCGCCGGCAUCUAUGUCCUGGUAGGAACUGUGGCUCGUGAGCAUGCUGGACCAGCCUUGACACUUUCCUUUCUAAUUGCUGGCAUUGCUGCUGCUCUUUCUGCCUUGUGUUAUGCCGAGCUUUCUUGCCGCUUCCCUUCAGCAGGAAGUGCUUAUCACUAUUCCUACAUUUGCAUUGGAGAGAGUGUCGCUUGGUUGAUUGGUUGGGCUUUGAUUCUCGAGUACACAAUUGGUGGAUCAUCAGUGGCACGUGGCAUCUCACCAAACUUGGCUCUGUUUUUUGGUGGCCAAGACAAGUUGCCCUUCUUCUUAGCACAAGUACAUGUUAAAUGGCUUGACACCCCAGUUGAUCCUUGUGCUGCCAUUCUUGUCCUCAUAGUCACUGCAUUACUCUGUCUGGGAAUUAAGGAGAGCUCACUUGUGGAAGGCGUCAUCACCAUUGCAAAUGUCGCAAUUAUGCUGUUUAUCAUUUGUGCCGGUGGAUGGUUAGGAUUCCAGAAUGGCUGGCCUGGUUAUGAUGUUCCGAAAGGUUACUUCCCGAAUGGUGCAAGUGGAGUUUUUUCUGGAUCAGCAACCCUCUUCUUUGCUUACAUUGGCUUUGAUGCAGUUGCCAGUACAGCUGAAGAGGUGAAGAAUCCUCAACGUGAUCUUCCAUGGGGAAUGUGUUUGACCUUGUCAUUGUGCUGCUUCCUCUACAUGAUGGUUUCUGUUGUUAUUGUCGGUCUGGUGCCAUAUUAUGCAAUGGAUCCUGACACCCCUAUUUCAUCUGCAUUUGCUCAAUAUGGAAUGCAAUGGGCAGCGUAUGUCAUUUCCAGUGGGGCUGUUCUUGCUCUCAUAGCAUCACUGAUUGGCGCUAUUCUCCCUCAGCCAAGAAUUGUCAUGGCCAUGGCAAGAGAUGGACUACUUCCCCCAAUAUUCUCAGCUGUUGGUCAACGGACUCAAGUCCCAACAUUGAGCACAAUUCUGACUGGGAUAUGUGCUGCUAUCCUUGCUUUUUUCAUGGAUGUGUCACAAUUGGCCGGGAUGGUAAGCGUGGGCACACUAUUGGCAUUUACAAUGGUUGCGAUUUCUCUUUUAAUAGUAAGAUAUGCUCCUCCAAAUGAUAUGCCAAUGGGAGGCGCUGAUCCAUCCUCAGUUGAAUCACUAGCUUUACACGCUGGGCAUUCAGAGGCAGAUGAGGGAAUUUUGGAGGGUCCUUUUGGCAAUGUUGAUGAAGCACCUACUGCCAGUGAGAUCGCCAAUAUGGUAAGGCGACAAAAAGCUAAAAGAUAUAUAGUGAUGGUUUGCUUUGGGGUCAUCAUCUUUGUGCCAGCGGUUUCUUUCUCCUCUUUGCCAUUUUCCAUACGAUGCACAACAUGUGCCUUAGGUGGCUUGCUCUUGCUCGGUGCUAGCAUUGUACUUUCAUGCAUCGGACAAGACACGUCGUCUUCACGACAAACUGAAGGUUUCAUGUGCCCGUUUGUACCUGUACUUCCAGUAUGCUGCAUCCUCAUCAACGCGUACCUUCUAAUGAACCUUGGGAGUCACACGUGGAUCCGUGUUUCUGUAUGGCUUGUGGCUGGUGCACUAAUAUAUCUCUUCUACGGUCGAAAUCACAGUUCCCUGACAGGAACGGCCUACGAGCGCGUGUCACCUGCAUGA
rnacentral:rRNA from 1 species